GAAAUUGUGUCGUAUUCUUUCAAGUUGGAAUUCCAAAACGUGGCUUCUGGGAUUCAAAAUCCCUGGUUUCUGGGAGUUUCCCAUGCUCCACCCAGUUGAGGUCCUUAAAGCCAGCAUGCCCUGAGGAAAUGUUGCCUGCUGGUCCUUACUUGGGUCUUUGGAUCCCAAGUUAGGUGGAGUAUCAGGGCGCAAUGCAAAGGGCUCCAGAUAAAUGAUGAGCCCGGUGAGAUGGUGCUGUCUAAAUGUCGGGACAGAGACUGGUUUAGUUGCUGAGAGACAGGACAUAUUAUUGUGGACAGUGAUGAUGCAGGGAGAGUUUCAUGGAUAUGCUGUACUCCAAAGGCUCCUUAAAAAUGAACAGGAUUUUCUGAAAGAUGCAGAAACGGGGAGGUAGUAAGAAUAUGUGGAACAGCAUGUGCCAUGUGAAUCCACCAAGAAGGGAGAUUUCCCCUGUAACAGUGAGGGGAAGAGUUCAGCUGGAGGGGCAACCCUGUGCUGGGGUUAAGAUGUGACAGGCUUAAAAAGGCAACUGAACCUAAGAAACAUUUUAUGGAUCCGCAGAGAAGAGGAGCUUAAAGCCUCCAAAUGUAAAGUAAUGAUAAAAAUGGAAACAUUAAUGCCUUCAACUUGAGCAGUACCUGUUGUAUAUUUGCAUUAAAAUAUCACACUGCGCCCCCUAAAUAAUACAACUAGUAUUAAUAAACGUUUCAGAGAUGGAAAUGUUAAGUACCCCGAUUUGAGCAUUCUACACUAUAUACAUAUCCAGAGUUAUCACACAGUACACCAUCAAUUUCUUACAAUUAAAGAUUUAAAAAGCAACUGGGUUCAGACCAAGGAGGAUGAUGCCAAAUUUAGCACUGCGGAUCCUUCCCAGAGGCAGCGAGACACUCCUAAAAGCCUUACAUGGAACAACGGGAGCAAUCAGCAAUCGCUUAAGAAAGCAAACAGGUGGCUACUGUUGACAAGAAGUGGAUGAGGCUGGGGUGGGUCGACUUGGAAAGAAAAACAGUAAGUGAUGUUUGGUUAUUGCUUUGGCUUCUUCGGGAGGGAGCCCAGAGGCCUCCCCAUUUUCAGUCGUGUUGGAAGAAGUGUUGUGCAGUCACUAUGCAUCCUGCCCCAGUGCUCCGUUUCUCUCCUGGCUCCUCGGCACAGCGGGCACAUGCAGGUAUGGUGGUCCACAGCUGAUGGCUCCUGC
rnacentral:lncRNA from 1 species